GACGAACGCUGGCGGCGUGCUUAACACAUGCAAGUCGAACGGAAAGGCCCUUCGGGGUACUCGAGUGGCGAACGGGUGAGUAACACGUGGGUGAUCUGCCCUGCACUUUGGGAUAAGCCUGGGAAACUGGGUCUAAUACCGAAUAGGACCACGCGCUUCAUGGUGUGUGGUGGAAAGCUUUUGCGGUGUGGGAUGGGCCCGCGGCCUAUCAGCUUGUUGGUGGGGGAAUGGCCUACCAAGGCGACGACGGGUAGCCGGCCUGAGAGGGUGACCGGCCACACUGGGACUGUGAUACGGCCCAGACUCCUACGGGGGGCAGCAGUGGGGAAUAUUGCACAAUGGGCGCAAGCCUGAUGCAGCGACGCCGCGUGAGGGAUGACGGCCUUCGGGUUGUAAACCUCUUUCAAUAGGGACGAAGCGCAAGUGACGGUACCUAUAGAAGAAGCACCGGCCAACUACGUGCCAGCCGCCGCCGUAA
rnacentral:rRNA from 1 species